rnacentral:rRNA from 1 species
GACGAACCGGUGCGAACGUUGUUCGGAAUCACUGGGCUUAAAGGGCGCGUAGGCGGGGUCGCCGCGGUCCGGGGUGAAAUCCCACGGCGUCGAACCGUGGAAACGGGCCGUCCGGAGUACGGGGCGGCCCUCGGAGGGGGGGUAGGGGCAUCUGGGAACUGUGAGUGGAGCGGUGAAAUGCGUUGAUAUUCAACAGGGAACUCCCGGUGGCGAAGGCGG